GGAGAGAGCAGCCCAGGACCCCAACUCCUGCAGGGAGGGGCUGCAGGCACCGCACCCCCACCAGCACCACCCCACUGCAUCCCACCCCUCUUCCUGACAGCAGCACAAGGACAUUCGUACUGAAAUAAUUUAUUUUCUAACAAUCCAACAAUACAGAAGUAUACAUACACACGGCCAGGUCUGUCUAAAACACAUACUCUCUAAAAAAAAAACGCGUGUGCUAACUUGUAAGAAAAACAAAACAACAAAAAAAAUGAAGCACCAUUAUAUGGUCUUGACACAGGAUUCAUAGUGACGUGCUAUGUACAACGGGAAUUGAACGCCUGGAAAGGAAAUCUUUGCAUCCUCCCAUCUGCUGCUCCCCUUUCACUCUGUGUCUAUCGCUCAGAAGAUGCCAGAACUCAAAAGUGAUGCUAAAAAGCCAAGGAGUGGGGUCUGGGUCUCGGGGGCAAAUUAGAAGGAAAAAGGGGGGAAAAAAAUUAAAAUCAAUGGGAAGGGCAAUGAAAAUGCAUCAAAAGCCACUGAGGUGGGGAAGGCUCCUGAGGUGGGGAUGGAGAAGCCUCUGCUGCUGGCUUUGUUCUGCCCCAGGUUGAGGGAUGGGGAUGGGAUGAGAUGGGAUGGGGACCAACGCCCAGGGCUGGGGGCUUCCCCGUCCCCAAGCAGCGCGGUUUGGACUCGCACGUCUGUGUAAACGCAGGGGGUGCUCCUCGCUCCCCCCCUUUUUUCCAACAAUCUACAAAAAAAAAAAUCUCAUUGCUGCAGCUUAUCUCUGAGUAAUGCUGGUGGAUCCGUGAAUUCGAGGAAAGGCUGGCGGCCCCAGGACGCUGCUCCAAGCUCACCUGGAGUUUUGGGGGAAAAGCCUGUGGUUUUAGGUUCGAACUUCGUGCCCGUCCGACGGCAGCGCAUCGUUUGCCAAAGGUUUGAGUUUGUUGGGGUUUUUUUUUUUUUUUUCGAUGCCAACGCGUUGGAGAGGAGCACGUCCAAACAGUGCAAAGGUCAGCGGAGUACUGCUUCAUAUCGGGACAGAAAUCAAAUGAAAAGAGGGGAAAAAAAAAAAAAACAAAAAACCAACAAAAACCACAACCAAAACCAACACGCGGUGUUUCACCAAAAGAACGCGGUCAACCCAAAAAGGCACGACACAAAAAAUAACAAUGAAGAGUCUAAACCUUAACGCUCGGUACAACUAAGUGGAGAACGAAGCGCACGUUUCCUCCUGUUCCCCCUUGGAGUGCAUCCCCACCGCGCCGGGGUUGGAGUUGGGAUUUCGGCAGUGCUCAGAAGAAAGGGGCUGGAGAGGGCUUGAGCCAUCGUGUAUCAGAGCAGCGCGCCUCCAAGUGCAGAUACUCAGCUUUGCCCGUGGGUUGUUGUUUUCAUGGGGUGGGCUUCUGUGGGUUUCCAUGGGCUCUUGCCUUCUUGGAGUGGGUUUCCGUGGGUUUUUGUCUUUGGGAUUGGUUUCCGUGG
rnacentral:lncRNA from 1 species